rnacentral:misc_RNA from 1 species
GUAAUUAUUAUAUUAUUGAGACGCUGAUUUACAAUUAAUAAGGUUAUAGGGAGUCCAAUCGGCAGGCAGGCCUGCCGAGGAAACAUGAGUACGCAAAAAGACAAGGGUAUAGGAUAGGGGCGUACUCUUGAGAGCGCUGCCGAAGCAGUCUCUCGAAUUUCCACCCCCCCUGAACAAUAGAAAACUACUGUGUUUAAUGAUCCUUCCGCAGGUUCACCUACGGAAA